CCCCAGGCCCCAUCCUUGAACUGCUGAAUUAGUUUGCUGGAGAGUGAACCCUCCCAGAAGAAUUGAGACCUGGGGAUAGCACCCAAGAAGAGGGAAGAUAUGGGUUGACAACUGAGACAUUUCCUGGAUUGUUCAUAUCAUGUCACAGCUGGACUGAGCCUUAGAAGGGCAUCGAGGAAUGCCUUUUUGAUGACACAUUUACACAGAGCCCGAAAGGAAUGAGUGACCCAACCUCAGCCUUGGC
rnacentral:lncRNA from 1 species